CCUACGGGCGGCUGCAGUGGGGAAUAUUGCACAAUGGGCGCAAGCCUGAUGCAGCGACGCCGCGUGGGGGAUGACGGCCUUCGGGUUGUAAACCUCUUUCAGCAGGGACGAAGGGUGACUGACGGUACCUGUAGAAGAAGCACCGGCCAACUACGUGCCAGCAGCCGCGGUAAUACGUAGGGUGCGAGCGUUGUCCGGAAUUACUGGGCGUAAAGAGCUCGUAGGUGGUUUGUCGCGUUGUCCGUGAAAACUCACAGCUUAACUGUGGGCGUGCGGGCGAUACGGGCAGACUGGAGUACUGCAGGGGAGACUGGAAUUCCUGGUGUAGCGGUGGAAUGCGCAGAUAUCAGGAGGAACACCGGUGGCGAAGGCGGGUCUCUGGGCAGUAACUGACGCUGAGGAGCGAAAGCGUGGGGAGCGAACAGGAUUAGAUACCCCUGUAGUC
rnacentral:rRNA from 1 species